CUACGUGCCAGCAGCCGCGGUAAUACGUAGGGGGCAAGCGUUAUCCGGAAUUAUUGGGCGUAAAGAGUGCGUAGGUGGUUACCUAAGCGCAAGGUUUAAUUUAGAGGCUCAACCUCUACUUGCCUUGCGAACUGGGCUACUUGAGUGCAGGAGGGGAAAGCGGAAUUCCUAGUGUAGCGGUGAAAUGCGUAGAUAUUAGGAGGAACACCAGCGGCGAAGGCGGCUUUCUGGACUGUAACUGACACUGAGGCACGAAAGCGUGGGUAGCAAACAGGAUUAGAUACCCUGGUAGUCCACGCCGUAAACGAUGAGCACUAGGUGUUGGGCCCGUUAGGGCUCAGUGCCGCAGUUAACGCAAUAAGUGCUCCGCCUGGGGAGUACGCUCGCAAGAGUAAAACUCAAAGGAAUUGACGGGGACCCGCACAAGCAGCGGAGCAUGUGGUUUAAUUCGAAGCAACGCGAAGAACCUUACCAGGGCUUGACAUCCUG
rnacentral:rRNA from 1 species